UACGUAGGGGGCAAGCGUUGUCCGGAAUCAUUGGGCGUAAAGAGCGUGUAGGCGGCCAGGUAGGUCUGCUGUGAAAACUCGAGGCUCAACCUCGAGAUGUCGGCGGAAACCAUCUGGCUAGAGUCCGGAAGAGGAAAGUGGGAUUCCCGGUGUAGCGGUGAAAUGCGCAGAUAUCAGGAAGAACACCCGUGGCGAAGGCGGCUCUCUGGGACGGUACUGACGCUGAGACGCGAAAGCGUGGGGAGCGAACAGG
rnacentral:rRNA from 1 species